GAGACCUAGUGGUUAGAGCAUCCGCCUCGGAUGUGGGAGGUCGUGGUUUAGAUUCCAUGCAGAAUCA